rnacentral:tRNA from 1 species
GCCUCGGUAGCUCAGUAGGUAGAGCACAUGACUGUUAAUCAUGUUGUCGCAGGUUCGAGUCCUGUCCGAGGCG